rnacentral:rRNA from 1 species
UACGGGGGGGGGCAAGCGUUGUUCGGAAUUACUGGGCGUAAAGGGCGCGUAGGCGGCCUGCUAAGUCGGACGUGAAAUCCCUGGGCUCAACCCAGGAACUGCGUCCGAUACUGGUUGGCUUGAAUCCGGGAGAGGGACGUGGAAUUCCAGGUGUAGCGGUGAAAUGCGUAGAUAUCUGGAGGAACACCGGUGGCGAAGGCGACGUCCUGGACCGGCAUUGACGCUGAGGCGCGAAAGCCAGGGGAGCAAACGGG